CCUCGUGGACCAUGGUGGUCGUCUGGUUUAACUACAGUAAUGAUCUUGUCAACUAGAAGGCGAGGGUUCGAUUCCCUCCGAGGGCA